GACGGAAGGUGCAAGCGUUGCUCGGAAUCACUGGGCGUAAAGGGUGCGUAGGCGGCCGUGCAAGUCUGGCGUGAAAGCCCCGGGCUCAGCCCGGGAAGUGCGCUCGAAACUGCGCGGCUCGAGUGCCGGAGGGGAGAGUGGAAUUCCUGGUGUAGCGGUGAAAUGCGUUGAUAUCAGGAGGAACACCAAUGGCGAAGGCAGCUCACUGGGACGGUAUUGACGCUGAGACGCGAAAGCGUGGGGAGCAAACAGG
rnacentral:rRNA from 1 species